rnacentral:lncRNA from 1 species
GGGGGACACAGGGAUACAAGGACGUGAGACAUGGGACAUAGGGACACGGGGACACAGGGAUACGAGGACGUGAGACAUGGGACAUAGGGACACGGGGACACAGGGAUACGAGGAUGUGAGACAUGGGACAUGGGGACACAGGGACAUGGGGACACAAGGAUGUGAGACAUGGGACAUGGGGACACGAGGAUAUGGGGAUGCAGGGACAUGGGGACAUGAGACAUGGGACGUGGGAACACAGGGAUGUGGGGACAUGGGAACACAGGGAUGUGGAGACACAGGGACAUGGGGACAUGGGGAUGUGCAGACAUGGGGACAUGAGGAUGUGGGGAGACAGGGAUGUGGGGACAUGGGGACGUGGGGAUGUGGGACAUGGGGACACGGAGACACAGGGACAUGGGGACAUGGGGAUGUGCAGACAUGGGGACAUGAGGAUGUGGGGGUCAUGGGGACACGGGGACAUGGGGACACGAGGAUGUGGGACAUGGGGACAGACACAAGGACAUGGGGAUGUGGGGAGAUGGGGAUGUGGAGACAUGGGGACAUGGGGACACAGGGAUGCGGAGACAUCGGGACAUGAGGAUGUGGGGGUCAUGGGGACACGGGGACAUGGGGACACAGGGUCAUGGGGACAUGGGGACAUGGGGACACAGGGACAUGAGGAUGUGGGGGUCAUGGGGACACAGGGACAUGGGGACACAGGG